CAGCCGCCACGGUAAUACGAAGGGGGCUAGCGUUGCUCGGAAUGACUGGGCGUAAAGGGCGCGUAGGCGGAUGGCACAGUCAGAUGUGAAAUACCCGGGCUUAACCUGGGGGCUGCAUUUGAUACGUGUUGUCUAGAGUGAGGAAGAGGGUUGUGGAAUUCCCAGUGUAGAGGUGAAAUUCGUAGAUAUUGGGAAGAACACCGGUGGCGAAGGCGGCAACCUGGUCCUUGACUGACGCUGAGGCGCGAAAGCGUGGGGAGCAAACAGGAUUAGAUACCCGCGUAGUCCCUGUCUCUUAUAC
rnacentral:rRNA from 1 species